rnacentral:rRNA from 1 species
ACGAAGGGGACUAGCGUUGUUCGGAAUCACUGGGCGUAAAGCGCACGUAGGCGGAUUUGUAAGUCAGGGGUGAAAUCCCGGGGCUCAACCUCGGAACUGCCUUUGAUACUGCGAAUCUUGAGUCCGAUAGAGGUGGGUGGAAUUCCUAGUGUAGAGGUGAAAUUCGUAGAUAUUGGGAAGAACACCGGUGGCGAAGGCGGCUCACUGGCUCGUUUCUGACGCUCAGGCGCGACAGCGUGGGGAUCAAACAGGA